AACGAACGCUGGCGGCGUGCUUAACACAUGCAAGUCGAACGCGAAAGUCCCUUCGGGGGCGAGUAGAGUGGCGCACGGGUAAGUAACGCGUAGGAACGUACCUAAGGGUGGGGAAUAACCACGGGAAACCGUAGCUAAUACCGCAUAAUAUCGCAAGAUCAAAGGAGGCCUCUACUUGUAAGCUUCCGCCGUUAGAGCGGCCUACGUCCUAUUAGCUAGUUGGUAGGGUAAAAGCCUACCAAGGCGAUGAUGGGUAACUGGUCUGAGAGGAUGAUCAGUCACACUGGAACUGAGACACGGUCCAGACUCCUACGGGAGGCAGCAGUGGGGAAUCUUGCACAAUGGGCGAAAGCCUGAUGCAGCAACGCCGCGUGGGUGAAGAAGGUUUUCGGAUUGUAAAGCCCUUUCGGCUGGGAAGAAGGGCGAAGUGGUUAAUACCCACCUCGUCUGACGGUACCAGAAUAAGAAGCACCGGCUAAUUCCGUGCCAGCAGCCGCGGUAAUACGGAAGGUGCAAGCGUUGUUCGG
rnacentral:rRNA from 1 species